AAGAGAGGCUUGCAGCAACGAAGACUGCUAAUCUUCGCCACCCAUGGUUAAACUCCAUGGCUCACUUG
rnacentral:tRNA from 1 species